UGUCAAUAGCCUGCUAGAGCACUUGGAGGAAUGUAUAGCGAAAGCUGGUGUAUUCUGUUAGUUAAUGCAACAUCGACCAUGAUAAAAUUCUAGAUAGAAUUAUGAUAAUGACAUUGUCUAUCUAUAUGUCUUGACAAAGUCACGUGCCAGCAGUCGCGGUAAUACGUGGUAGACUAGUGUUAUUCAUCUUUAAUAGGUUUAAAGGGUACUUAGACGGUAAAUUAAGCCAUACUAAUUUUCUAGAGUUUUAUGCGAGGGGGGUAUUGAAGAGUGGAGAGAUGAAAUUUUGUGAUACCUUUGGAACAGUCAACGGCGAAAGCAACCCUUUAUGUAAAAACUGACGUUGAAAGACGAAGGCUUGGUAUACCAACAGGAUUAGAUACCCUAGCAGUCCUAGCAGAAAAUGAUGAAUGUCAUAGGUUAGAAGAAUCUUAAUAAGAUAUGGUAAUGAUAUCAACCUUAAGGUUCCUGGUUAAAUAAAUUUUGUCUAUAAAUGAAAGUGUAAGCAUUCCACCUCGAGAGUAAUGUGGCAACGCAGGAAUUGAAAUCAUUAGACCGUUUCUGAAACCAGUAGUGAAGUAUGUUGUUUAAUUAGAUGAUCCACAAAAAACCUUACCACAAUUUGAAUAUUUAUACAAGAGUUGCACGGGUCUUCAGUUAAUGUCGUGAGAUUUUGGUUAAUUCCAUUAAUUAACGUAAACCCUUACUUUAUUUAUUUUUAUAAAGUAGUUCACCGCUAUAUUGGAUAUGCAGGGAAGACAAGUCAUUUAAUAUUGUGGGUAA
rnacentral:rRNA from 1 species